AACUAACGCUGGCGGCGCGCCUAAUACAUGCAAGUCGAACGAUGUAGCAAUACAUAGUGGCGCACGGGAGAGUAACACGUGGAUAAUCUCCCCUCGAGAGAGGAAUAACUAGUCGAAAGAUUGGCUAAUACUUCAUAAGACCACAGAAACUAAUGUUUCAGGGGUAAAAGUCGUAAGACGCUUGAGGAUGAGUCUGCGUCCCAUUAGCUAGUUGGUGAGGUAACGGCUCACCAAGGCGACGAUGGGUAGCUGGUCUGAGAGGAUGAUCAGCCUCACUGGAACUGACACACGGUCCAGACUCCUACGGGAGGCAGCAGUAGGGAAUAUUGCACAAUGGGCGAAAGCCUGAUGCAGCGACGCCGCGUGAGUGAUGAAGGACUUCGGUUUGUAAAGCUCUGUUGUCAGGGAAUAAAAAAAUGAAUGUACCUGACGAGAAAGGACCGGCUAACUUCGUGCCAGCAGCCGCGGUAAU
rnacentral:rRNA from 1 species